CGAACACUGGCGGCGUGGAUUAGGCAUGCAAGUCGAACGAGAAAGUUUCCUUCGGGAAAUGAGUACAGUGGCGAACGGGUGAGUAACGCGUGGGAAACCUGCCCUUCUGCGGGGGAUAACAGUUCUAACGAGCUGCUAAUACCGCAUACGACCUUCGGACCUCCUGGUCUGAAGAUGAAAGGUGGCCUCUCUUUGAAGCUGCCACAGAAGGAUGGUCCCGCGUCCCAUUAGCUUGUUGGUGGGGUAAUGGCCCACCAAGGCGACGAUGGGUAGCCGGCCUGAGAGGGUGUCCGGCCACACUGGGACUGAGAUACGGCCCAGACUCCUACGGGAGGCAGCAGUCGAGAAGCUUCCGCAAUGGGGGAAACCCUGACGGAGCGACGCCGCGUGAGCGAAGAAGGCCCUAUGGGUUGUAAAGCUCUGUCAGAUUGGGAAGAAAGCUCCGGGAUUAAUACCCCCGGAGUUUGACGGUACCAUCAGAGGAAGCACCGGCUAACUCC
rnacentral:rRNA from 1 species